AAAGUCGUAACAAGGUUUCCGUAGGUGAACCUGCGGAAGGAUCAUUAUCAGGUGGAGCAGGCCUCGCGCUUGCACCUCCCUCCCUUUGCAUACCGUAUACCGUUGCUCGAGCCGGCGGCCCCCGGGCCCCCGGCGAGAGACCACAACCAUCUUGUUCCUGAUCGUCUGAGUCCACAUACAAUAGAACAAAACUUUCAACAACGGAUCUCUUGGUUCCG
rnacentral:misc_RNA from 1 species